UACGUAGGGUGCGAGCGUUGUCCGGAAUUAUUGGGCGUAAAGAGCUCGUAGGCGGUCUGUCGCGUCGAAUGUGAAAUCCCGGGGCUCAACUCCGGGCUUGCAUUCGAUACGGGCAGGCUAGAGUUCGGUAGGGGAGUCUGGAAUUCCUGGUGUAGCGGUGAAAUGCGCAGAUAUCAGGAGGAACACCGGUGGCGAAGGCGGGACUCUGGGCCGAUACUGACGCUGAGGAGCGAAAGCGUGGGGAGCGAACAGG
rnacentral:rRNA from 1 species